rnacentral:rRNA from 1 species
AGUGGCGAACGGGUGAGUAAUACAUCGGAACAUGUCCUGUAGUGGGGGAUAGCCCGGCGAAAGCCGGAUUAAUACCGCAUACGAUCUGAGGAUGAAAGCGGGGGACCUUCGGGCCUCGCGCUAUAGGGUUGGCCGAUGGCUGAUUAGCUAGUUGGUGGGGUAAAGGCCUACCAAGGCGACGAUCAGUAGCUGGUCUGAGAGGACGACCAGCCACACUGGGACUGAGACACGGCCCAGACUCCUACGGGAGGCAGCAGUGGGGAAUUUUGGACAAUGGGCGAAAGCCUGAUCCAGCAAUGCCGCGUGUGUGAAGAAGGCCUUCGGGUUGUAAAGCACUUUUGUCCGGAAAGAAAUCCUUGGUUCUAAUAUAGCCGGGGGAUGACGGUACCGGAAGAAUAAGCACCGGCUAACUACGUGCCAGCAGCCGCGGUAAUACGUAGGGUGCAAGCGUUAAUCGGAAUUACUGGGCGUAAAGCGUGCGCAGGCGGUUUGCUAAGACCGAUGUGAAAUCCCCGGGCUCAACCUGGGAACUGCAUUGGUGACUGGCAGGCUAGAGUAUGGCAGAGGGGGGUAGAGUUCCACGUGUAGCAGUGAAAUGCGUAGAGAUGUGGAGGAAUACCGAUGGCGAANGCAGCCCCCUGGGCCAAUACUGACGCUCAUGCACGAAAGCGUGGGGAGCAAACAGGAUUAGAUACNCUGGUAGUCCACGCCCUAAACGAUGUCAACUAGUUGUUGGGGANUCAUUUCCUUAGUAACGUANCUAACGCGUGAAGUUGACCGCCUGGGGAGUACGGUCGCNAGAUUAAAACUCAAAGGAAUUG